rnacentral:rRNA from 1 species
AUUUUGGACAAUGGGGGCAACCCUGAUCCAGCCAUUCCGCGUGAGUGAAGAAGGCCUUCGGGUUGUAAAGCUCUUUCAGCUGGAACGAAACGGUACGCUCUAACAUAGCGUGCUAAUGACGGUACCAGCAGAAGAAGCACCGGCUAACUACGUUCCAGCAGCCGCGGUAAUACGUAGGGUGCGAGCGUUAAUCGGAAUUACUGGGCGUAAAGCGUGCGCAGGCGGAUUGUUAAGCAAGAUGUGAAAUCCCCGGGCUUAACCUGGGAAUGGCAUUUUGAACUGGCAGUCUAGAGUGCGUCAGAGGGGGGUGGAAUUCCACGUGUAGCAGUGAAAUGCGUAGAGAUGUGGAGGAACACCGAUGGCGAAGGCAGCCCCCUGGGAUGACACUGACGCUCAUGUACGAAAGCGUGGGUAGCAAACAGG